rnacentral:rRNA from 1 species
AGAGUUUGAUCAUGGCUCAGAACGAACGCUGGCGGCAUGCCUCAUACAUGCAAGUCGAACGAGAUCCUUCGGGGUCUAGUGGCGCACGGGUGAGUAGCGCGUGGGAACCUGCCCUGUUGUGGGGGAUAACCGAUGGAAACGUCGGCUAAUACCGCAUGCGCCCGGCGAGAGAUCGCUGGGGAAAGAUUUAUCGCAGCAGGAUGGGCCCGCGUCGGAUUAGCUAGUUGGUGGGGUAACGGCCUACCAAGGCGAUGAUCCGUAGCUGGUCUGAGAGGAUGAUCAGCCACACUGGGACUGAGACACGGCCCAGACUCCUACGGGAGGCAGCAGUAGGGAAUAUUGGACAAUGGGCGCAAGCCUGAUCCAGCAAUGCCGCGUGAGUGAGGAAGGCCUUAGGGUUGUAAAGCUCUUUCGCACGCGACGAUGAUGACGGUAGCGUGAGAAGAAGCCCCGGCUAACUUCGUGCCAGCAGCCGCGGUAAUACGAAGGGGGCGAGCGUUGUUCGGAAUUACUGGGCGUAAAGGGCGCGUAGGCGGCCAUCUUUGUCAGGCGUGAAAGCCCUGGGCUCAACCUGGGAGGUGCGCUUGGGACGGGGUGGCUAGAGAUCGGGAGAGGAGAGUGGAAUUCCCAGUGUAGAGGUGAAAUUCGUAGAUAUUGGGAAGAACACCGGGCGAAGGCGGCUCUCUGGACCGAUACUGACGCUGAGGCGCGAAAGCGUGGGGAGCAAACAGGAUUAGAUACCCUAGUAGUCC